GACGAACGCUGGCGGCGUGCUUAAUACAUGCAAGUCAACUGAACUUAAGGUAGCAAUAUUUUAAGGGAGGUGGCGCACGGGUGAGUAACACGUAGGUAAUCUGCCUUUAGGUCUGACACAACCUACCGAAGGUAGGCUAAUAUCAGAUGAUGCAGCGGCUCGACAUCGAGACAGUUGUUAAACCUUCGGGGCCUAAAGAUGAGCCUGCGUCUGAUUAGGUAGUUGGCGGAGUAAUAGCCCACCAAGCCUGCGAUCAGUAGCUGGUCUGAGAGGAUGAUCAGCCACACUGGAACUGAGACACAGUCCAGACUCCUACGGGAGGCAGCAGUAAGGAAUAUUGCUC
rnacentral:rRNA from 1 species